ACACCCCGUGCACCAAAGAUUUUUGCUCGUACACCAAGACAAAAACAAAUGUUUGAUUAAAUUUAAACCUUGCUCAAUCCAGAAAAAUUGUUCAAAGUCUUGGGAAAAUUGGGAAAAAUUGUUUAUUUAAUGAUAAAAAUUUGACAUAUAAACCAUGUAAAUAAAACCACAAAAUAAGGAUAAAAUGCUGUUUCUCUACACCUCCUCACCAAUUCUCCAUUGGAGUUGGUGCACUCCAUCUAGUAUUACAUAAUGGAAUCCCAAAAUGCAAUGCAUAUUGGCAGGAAA